GGAGAGGUGUCCGAGUGGCUGAAGGAGACGGUUUUGAAAACCGUUGAGGUCGUAAGGCCUCCGGGGGUUCGAAUCCCUCCCUCUCGU
rnacentral:tRNA from 1 species